CAAAGUGUAGCUUAACCAAAGCACCUGGCCUACACCCAGAAGAUUUCAUUAAUAUGACCGCUUUGA
rnacentral:tRNA from 1 species